rnacentral:rRNA from 1 species
GACGAACGCUGGCGGCGUGCCUAAUACAUGCAAGUCGAGCGCUGAAGGUUGGUACUUGUACCAACUGGAUGAGCAGCGAACGGGUGAGUAACGCGUGGGGAAUCUGCUUUUGAGCGGGGGACAACAUUUGGAAACGAAUGCUAAUACCGCAUAAAAACUUUAAACACAAGUUUUAAGUUUGAAAGAUGCAAUUGCAUCACUCAAAGAUGAUCCCGCGUUGUAUUAGCUAGUUGGUGAGGUAAAGGCUCAACAAGGCGGUGGUACAUAGCCGACCUGAGAGGGAGGUCGGCCCCAUUGGGACUUGGACACGGCCCAAACCCCUUCGGGGAGCAGCAGUAGGGAAAUUUCGGCCAUGGACGAAAGUCUGACCGAGCAACGCCGCGUGAGUGAAGAAGGUUUUCGGAUCGGAAAACUCUGUUGGUAGGGAAGAACGUUGGUGAGAUUGGAAAGCUCAUCAAGUGACGGUAACUACCCAGAAAGGGACGGCUAACUACGUG